AACGAACGUUAGCGGCGCGCCUAACACAUGCAAGUCGCACGAGAAAGGGCUUCGGCCCCGGUACAGUGGCGCACGGGUGAGUAACACGUGGGUAAUCUGCCCUCGGGCGGGGGAUAACAUUCCGAAAGGAGUGCUAAUACAGCAUAAGACCACUGCUUCGCAAGAAGCGGCGGUCAAAGCUGGCCUCUAUACAUAAGCUAGCACCUGAGGAUGAGCCAGCGGCGCAUCAGCUAGUUGGUGGGGUAAUGGCUCACCAAGGCGAAGACGCGUAGCUGGUCUGAGAGGAUGAGCAGCCACACUGGUACUUAGACACGGACCAGACUCCUACGGGAGGCAGCAGUGGGGAAUAUUGCGCAAUGGGCGAAAGCCUGACGCAGCAACGCCGCGUGGGUGAUGAAGGCCUUCGGGUCGUAAAGCCCUGUCAGAUGGGAAGAAACCUGCGCAAGCAGCUGACGGUACCAUCAAAGGAAGCACCGGCUAACUCCGUGCCAGCAGCCGCAGUAACAC
rnacentral:rRNA from 1 species